UGCGUAGGGGGCAAGCGUUGUCCGGAUUUAUUGGGCGUAAAGAGCGUGUAGGCGGCCAGGUAGGUCUGCUGUGAAAACUCGAGGCUCAACCUCGAGCUGUCGGCGGAAACCAUCUGGCUAGAGUCCGGAAGAGGAGAGUGGAAUUCCUGGUGUAGCGGUGAAAUGCGCAGAUAUCAGGAAGAACACCCGUGGCGAAGGCGGCUCUCUGGGACGGUACUGACGCUGAGACGCGAAAGCGUGGGGAGCGAACAGG
rnacentral:rRNA from 1 species